GAUGAACGCUAGCGGCAGGCUUAACACAUGCAAGUCGAGGGGUAUAGGUUUUCGGACCUAGAGACCGGCGCACGGGUGCGUAACGCGUAUGCAAUCUACCUUUCACAGAGGGAUAGCCCAGAGAAAUUUGGAUUAAUACCUCAUAGUAUUAUGAAGUGGCAUCAUUUUAUAAUUAAAGUUCCAACGGUGAAAGAUGAGCAUGCGUCCCAUUAGCUAGAUGGUAAGGUAACGGCUUACCAUGGCGACGAUGGGUAGGGGUCCUGAGAGGGAGAUCCCCCACACUGGUACUGAGACACGGACCAGACUCCUACGGGAGGCAGCAGUGAGGAAUAUUGGUCAAUGGACGCAAGUCUGAACCAGCCAUGCCGCGUGCAGGAUGACGGUCCUAUGGAUUGUAAACUGCUUUUGUACGAGAAGAAACACUCCUUCGUGAAGGAGCUUGACGGUAUCGUAAGAAUAAGGAUCGGCUAACUCCGUGCCAGCAGCCGCUGUAA
rnacentral:rRNA from 1 species